UGAAAACAGAACAAAAACUAAACAUAACCCUAACAGGUUUGGUUUGAGUCGCUCCUUCAAUGUUAUUGCAAACCAUCAGUGACCAGAUUCAUGCUAAACGUGGGGUUUGUUGAAGAGUGACCCCCCAACGAUCAUCUCACCAGUUGCACUCGCAGCUGUAAUGAACAGAAGCCCAGAACAUGUGGAUAUAUUGACAUUAAGAACAUGCUGACUUUCUCAGACUUUUGUAA